GUGCAGCACACCGGGAGGCGCAGUUUUCCAGUACUGGACUUCCAGGUGUCCGCACUGGCAUGUAGGGCACGUACGGAAUCCUAGUUUUCUGGCACCGCACCUCCCGAGAGCAAUGCAGAUUUAUGAGAUAUGAGGGUUAAGGUGAUCUGGGGGGCAGCUUGCCACCCAUGAGGGCCCCAAGCUAAAGCAGCCUGCUCCCAAUAGAUGGACCCCACGACACUGACCCACACCUGGAGCAGCUCUUGAAGAGCCGCCAUCCAUGGAAAAGCCCACACAGGGGCAGCCCAUGAAGGACAGCACCCCUCAGGAAGGACCCCAGGCAGGAGCAGGGGAGAGAGUGACGGUGAAGGAGCAGACGAAACAAAGGGUAGAAGCAGCUGCCACUAGGAUUUGGUUUGUGGGGUUUGUUGCUGAGCAAAGGUGACACACCAGGUAAAAUGAGAAAAGUUGCAGCUGAUGUGCUGCAAUUACAGAUAGGAGAAAAGCUCUUUCCAGCGAGACGAAGAAGGAAUUAUACCUCUGCCUCAUCCCGUGAGAC